ACCCCAGUUGCCACAGCAGCACUCCAGCGUCCCAUCAGACAAUGAAGCCUGAGCUGCAGGAGGAGAGCCUGCAGGCCUCCUGGGUGAAAUUGCACCUUCACGAUAAUGGGAAUGGGAGCAGUGUUUCAGCCUCAGCUUCUAUUUAUAAUGGUGACAUGAAAAAAAUACUGCUGGAUUUCCAGCAUGAGUCCAGAUAGAGAUAGAUCUAAGAAUUCUCCCUGUGACAGCCCACCUUAUUCACAGACACCAUGGGAUACUAAUAGGACCCCUGAAACAGACACCCAAAGGAUUUGAGCAAAAAACAGCUCUCUAUCUGAGCAAGAUUAUAUUGAGAGAAAAUAAAAAGUUAAAAAUUUCUCUUUAAAUACCCAAAGUGCACAACUAUUCUCAGCAUGAGAAACAUGAACAUUAUUUAAAAAGGGGAUGAGCCAGGGGGUACAAAUUCUCAGCAAAAUUUUAUAAGGUUUCUCUUUCAUCUCUGCUGCUGUCUCAUCUCCUAACCAUUAGAUGGGGGAACUAUAUUGAAACACAUCUGACAAUUUCCACUAGCACAU
rnacentral:lncRNA from 10 species